rnacentral:lncRNA from 1 species
CCUAAAGUAGGUCAAUCUACUGGAAAACCCAGUAUUAACUUCAGGUUUGACAACAGGAAGAUUCAUCCGUGUAAUGAACAGUCUCCUUUUAAAUACUAUCGAAUUUAAAUGAAGAAAAAUAAGUCAAUCAAGUCUUCUGUUACUUUGGCACUUGGAUCUGGGGAAUGAUCAUCAUCACCACUAAAUAUGAAAGGAUUUUCAGCAAUACUUUGGAGAGUAUAAAACUUGCAAACAAGGUCAAUUAUAACGUCGUCCAGAAAUGUAGCAGAAUACACAGAAGACUGUGGUAGGGACAGUGCUUUUUCAUUAGCAGGAUUCAAGAAUUCAAUGACAUGGUCAUUUUCAGGGUCUUCUGUCGCCCUGGCUGGAGUGCAAUGGUGCCUUCUCGACUCACCACAGCCUCUGCCUCCUGGACUCAAGCAAUCCUCCCACCUCAGCCUCCCAGACUAGCUGGGACCACAGAUGUGCACCGCCAUGUCUGGCUAAUUUUUGUAUUUGUAGUAGAGACAGGUUUUUCGCCAUGUUGCCGAGGCUGAUCUCGAACUCCUGGCCUCAAGCAAUCCACCCGCCUUGGCCUCCCAAAGUGCUAGGAUCGCAGGCGUGAGCCACGGCACCCAGCCUUGAAUAUUAUUUAAAAGGCAGCUUUGGUAUGACAUCUGGAUGAAUUUGGAAAUCAGAAACUUCAGCCAGGAUAAUUUUAGCUACCCUCUCAGCCAAUGUCUUUGUGUCAUUGAGAAAAUCUUUAUCAGGUGGAUUUCUCAUUAAAAUCUGAAGUCAUUAAAUAGUUCCUUCCCAAGCAUGAAGUCUUGCUGUAUAGAGAAAGAGUGGAGAUAAUAGCCUCCUGAUGACAUCUUCUAAAAAUGAGUGUGAUAACAUGGUAAUGUAGCAUGUUGAAUGUUGAACUUGGUAAAUAAGUUAUUUCAGGUUAUUCUGAAGUUUCUGCAGUAUAUUUUCAGCUUUGAGAGAGUAAUAUGAAUUAGGCAUGAGCCUUUCUUCAAAACACAAUGGGAGUUGCUAGUCUCAAAUCUCUAUCAGUAUGCCAUUAGUUAUCUGCUCUGCUACUGGGGUGAUAGUGUGUGCCAGAUGAUUACCACAAGUCACUUGCAAUUUAUAUUCCCGUAAAGCAUCGUUAUAAACUGAGUCAACAAUCUUACGAGCACUUUUUUUUUUUUGAGAACAAGUCUUACUCUGUCACCCUGGCUAGAGUGCAGUGAGUGGCACGAUCUCAGCUCACUGCAACCUCCACCUCCCAAGUUCAAACGAUUCUCCUGCCUCAGCCUCCCGAGUAGCUGGGACUAUAGGCACACACCACCAUGCUCAGCCAAUUUUUGUAUUUUUAGUAGAGAUGGGGUUUCACCAUGUUGGCCAGGCUGUAGACUAGUUGGAAACAUAUCCUUUCUUCAACACCCUAUAAAACAGUGACUUGAGCAUUAUUAAACUCAUUUACCAUGGGGUAAACACCUAAUAUACUCACCUCAUUGAACUGGGCCUCAGUGAUAUUUAUAUUUUUUUUUGCCCAAAAUGAGGUAUAGAGAUUAAGAAAAAUGCCUACAAUUAUUUCCUCCAAAAAUGUGGCAGAGUAAACUCCUGGGUUCAUGCCUUCUAGAUGUUGCAUGCUAUGAAUGGCUGCUAUAUUUAUUGCUUUUCUCCUGGUCUUCAAAGAGGAGGUAGACAAGAGGGUUUUCUUGGAAGUUGCUUACCAAAUAGGCUUCUAUUUGGAACAGAUAGCUCAGAUACUAUCCAGUGCCCCCUUCAAAGGCUUGCUGUCAUAACUCAUGAAACUUAUAGAGCCUUUUCCUUAUCUUGAUUAUUUUAAUUCUGGCCUUUUUGCUUUUAGGAAAUUAGAAAGUCUCCUUCUUUUCCUAUAUGCAAAGAAUGCAAAGGAUGGACAUCUUAGAGGUUGCUGUACGUGGUGUGAUUGUUUUUCCAUUAAGGAUUUUACAAAACUAUGGGAAUAAAACUAAUCAUAUAUUCUUGAUCGAUUCCCUCCAGAUUUUCCAAAAGUUCUUGUAUUAGGUCAUUUUUGCAUUGCUGUAAAGAAAUACCUGAGGCUGAGUAAUUUACAAAUAAAAGAGCUUUAGUUGGCUCAUGGUUCGGCAGACAGUACAAGAAUGGUGUCAGCAUCUGCUUCUGGGGAGGGCCUCAGAAUGCUUACAAUCAUGAUGGAAGGCAAAGGGGGAAAAGGCACUUACACGGGGAGAGCAUGAACAAGAGAGAAGGGGAGGUGCCAUACACUUUUAACAGAUCUUGUGAGAACUCCUUCACUAACCUGAGGACAAUUCUAAGCUAUUCAUGAGUGAUCCUCCCCCAUGAUCUAAACACCUCCCACCAGGCCCCACCUCCAAAAUUGGUUCAUUGUUUUCCUGUAAUAACCAAAUCCUUCUUCCUCUGUAUUUUGAAGUACGUUGAACAGUUGACAUUCUGCUGACAUUUCAUCAGAAAGAGGGUUAUUUGUAAGAGAGUUGUUUGUUGCGCAUUCUCAUAAAAGCAUUCUAAUAAGUUUCUUGCACACAAAUUUCAGAUGAAAAACUGAUUUGGGGGAAAGCCCUAGAUUAUUUCUAGGUAUGCAAUGACUUUUCUGAUUACUUGGAGAUGGGAAUAUUUUCAUUGCUAUUUUACCAGAAUCCAUAUCCCAAUUUGGCCAUUCAUCUGGCAAAACCAAAUCUAAAACAAUAUUUACAUUUUUAUUGACUACUUUAGAUUCACAGUUUUUAGGCUACCAACCAGAGUGCCUAAAUUACAUGCUAGAGAAUUUAGUUUAUUUUUCUGCAUGAGUUUAUCAAUUUGGGCAGUAGGAGCUGAUUUCCAGUCUCUGGAGCCUGCUUGUCUUUUCAUAGUUUUGCUUUUGUUGCAAUUGGCCAAAUUAGGGCUUCUAGGCAAAGAAAAUGAUUUGUUUCUUCCAUUGCCAUAAGGCUGAUGAUUUAUUCCUAUUUCUUUGUACAGAACAUGGAUGACUCCUAUUAAGAGUUCCCGAAAGAGAUCAUCAAAGUCACAGUCACAGCCACUCUUGGGCAGUAAAUAUAUUUUGUUUUUACAGAAACCAUUUGUUGGGUAAUGUCUGCUUUUAAAAUGUCACUAUUAAACAGGAUUCAAAUAAUGAUUUCAGAAAUGCUUAAAGCAAGUUCUCUGAUAGAAAUUGACUGACUCUCCAACACUUUGUAAUAAACUAAAAUAACCUUGUUAAAAGCUGAAUCUUGACUUUCCAGUGCUUUUUGUUUUGACCCACUGUCUUCGGU